UACGAAGGGGGCUAGCGUUGCUCGGAAUCACUGGGCGUAAAGGGCGCGUAGGCGGACUCUUAAGUCGGGGGUGAAAGCCCAGGGCUCAACCCUGGAAUUGCCUUCGAUACUGAGAGUCUUGAGUUCGGAAGAGGUUGGUGGAACUGCGAGUGUAGAGGUGAAAUUCGUAGAUAUUCGCAAGAACACCAGUGGCGAAGGCGGCCAACUGGUCCGAUACUGACGCUGAGGAGCGAAAGCGUGGGGAGCGAACAGG
rnacentral:rRNA from 1 species